rnacentral:rRNA from 1 species
UACGUAGGGCGCAAGCGUUGUCCGGAAUUAUUGGGCGUAAAGAGCUCGUAGGCGGCUUGUCGCGUCGGUUGUGAAAGCCCGGGGCUUAACCCCGGGUCUGCAGUCGAUACGGGCAGGCUAGAGUUCGGUAGGGGAGAUCGGAAUUCCUGGAUGUAGCGGUGAAAUGCGCAGAUAUCAGGAGGAACACCGGUGGCGAAGGCGGAUCUCUGGGCCGAUACUGACGCUGAGGAGCGAAAGCGUGGGGAGCGAACAGG